rnacentral:rRNA from 2 species
UAUACAUGCAGUCGAACGAACUCUGGUAUUGAUUGGUGCUUGCAUCAUGAUUUACAUUUGAGUGAGUGGCGAACUGGUGAGUAACACGUGGGAAACCUGCCCAGAAGCGGGGGAUAACACCUGGAAACAGAUGCUAAUACCGCAUAACAACUUGGACCGCAUGGUCCGAGUUUGAAAGAUGGCUUCGGCUAUCACUUUUGGAUGGUCCCGCGGCGUAUUAGCUAGAUGGUGAGGUAACGGCUCACCAUGGCAAUGAUACGUAGCCGACCUGAGAGGGUAAUCGGCCACAUUGGGACUGAGACACGGCCCAAACUCCUACGGGAGGCAGCAGUAGGGAAUCUUCCACAAUGGACGAAAGUCUGAUGGAGCAACGCCGCGUGAGUGAAGAAGGGUUUCGGCUCGUAAAACUCUGUUGUUAAAGAAGAACAUAUCUGAGAGUAACUGUUCAGGUAUUGACGGUAUUUAACCAGAAAGCCACGGCUAACUACGUGCCAGCAGCCGCGGUAAUACGUAGGUGGCAAGCGUUGUCCGGAUUUAUUGGGCGUAAAGCGAGCGCAGGCGGUUUUUUAAGUCUGAUGUGAAAGCCUUCGGCUCAACCGAAGAAGUGCAUCGGAAACUGGGAAACUUGAGUGCAGAAGAGGACAGUGGAACUCCAUGUGUAGCGGUGAAAUGCGUAGAUAUAUGGAAGAACACCAGUGGCGAAGGCGGCUGUCUGGUCUGUAACUGACGCUGAGGCUCGAAAGUAUGGGUAGCAAACAGGAUUAGAUACCCUGGUAGUCCAUACCGUAAACGAUGAAUGCUAAGUGUUGGAGGGUUUCCGCCCUUCAGUGCUGCAGCUAACGC